rnacentral:rRNA from 1 species
UCGACGAACAUGGAAGACGGAAUUUUUCGGAAGGAAGUCUUCUAUGACUGAGUGGCGGACGGGUGAGUAACGCGUGGGUAACCUGCCUCAUACAGGGGGAUAACAGUUAGAAAUGACUGCUAAUACCGCAUAAGACCACAGUGCCGCAUGGCACAGGGGCCAAAGCCUUGACGGUAUGAGAUGGACUCGCGUCCCAUUAGCUAGUUGGUAGGGUAAUGGCCUACCAAGGCGACGAUGGGUAGCCGGCCUGAGAGGGUGGCCGGCCACACUGGGACUGAGACACGGCCCAGACUCCUACGGGAGGCAGCAGUGGGGAAUUUUGCGCAAUGCUCGUAAGAGUGACGCAGCGACGCCGCGUGAAUGACGAAGGCCUUCGGGUCGUAAAGUUCUUUCGACAGGGAAGAAAAUGCCUAUAAGUAACUGUGUAUGUAUUGACGGUACCUGUAUAAGCAGCCCCGGCUAACUCCGUGCCAGCAGCCGCGGUAAUACGGAGGGGGCGAGCGUUGUUCGGAGUGACUGGGCGUAAAGAGCACGUAGGCGGUGUUGUAAGUCAUUAGUCAAAGACUAGAGCUCAACUUUAGUAAGGCUAGUGAUACUAUAAUACUAGAGUAUCAGAGAGGAUUGCAGAAUUCCUGGUGUAGCGGUGAAAUGCGUAGAUAUCAGGAGGAAUACCGUUAGCGAAGGCGGCAAUCUGGCUGGGAACUGACGCUGAGGUGCGAAAGCGUGGGUAG